rnacentral:lncRNA from 1 species
UUAUGAACACAUGAUGAUCUCAAUUAUACAACAAUUUUCUCUAUUGCAACUUCACGAGGCAACCCAUUUAGUGGCUUGUUGGUUGGGAGAUCGUCAUAUGCAUCCAAGGAAGACCUUCAAGAAUGUUUUGAUGCAGGAAAAGAUAUAAGUUACACAUAGAAAAGAAUCUCUGUUGCUUUGAAAUGAAGAACAUAGGAGUAGCAGCUCGCUCACACAUGAUUUGGUGGUUGAUGCACGGUGAGCAAAAUCUUGGAUUGCCUAAUGACCACCUUCCAAAGCAUGUACUCCCUUCGUUCCUAGAUAUAAGUCUUUUUAGAGAUUCCGAUACGGACUACAAACGGAUAUAUAUAGACAUACUUUAGAAGGUAGGUUCAUUCAUUUUUCUUCGUAUGUAGUCCGUAGUGAAAUCUCUAGAAAGACUUGUAUUUAGAAACAGAGGGAGUACUUUGAAAGCAAGCAUACAAUGAAAUAACAUGACCUAGCAAUGGCGCUUACAGUGUCGUGGAGCUAGGGUUGUCCGCCCGUUCAAAUUUAACAAAUAAUUAUUUGUGCAAUACAAGUAUGAAGUGGUAACUUUUUUAUGGGGACGUAUGAACCGGUAUCAAAACUUCAGCUUACAUGUGUGUUUUCAUGUAUUCAUUAUGCAUGAAAAGCCACACUAUGAGCUCAACAUAGAAUUAAAUGGAAUGUAACAAAAGGAAAAAAAAAGUAAAUGCGAACUGACCAUCAAUUCAAAUCAAAUUCUAUAGCUGAGAAUGGACAUGGUAAAGACCCUCUGUAUUCUUCUGUUAAAAAUUGUAUAUGGGGUGCAUUUUAUCAAGACCGUUAAAUCAAAUCAAAUUCUAGACGGAGAAUUUCCUUUGUCUUCGAAAACAUGUAUUCUAAGUUGAAACCGGGACCAAGACUAUUCCAGAAUACAAAGGACCAUUGGUCAGCAUGUACAGUUAAGAGGUAGAAAAUACAUCAGGAUACUCUCAGUUAAUUGGUGGAGUGGCAUGAAUGGGGAGUAGCAACUUCCCGUGAGGAAAGGAACAACAAAUAGAGCGGGAUGAAUCCACUGGAGGGAUGCCGGCUCGGUAUACAAUCUUAGCUACGUUAUGAAGGAAAGGAAAGAAAACACUCUAAGUAUAUCAGACAACAAAUAGGCAAAAUUACUGUAUUGAAGGAGAGAAGUUGGAAAAAAAACUAUGAGCAUGGUUGUGAGAGACAUACCUGGAGAUAAGUUAUUUAUUGUAGAGAAGCUUGCCGCCUUUCGUCAUCUCGUCGAAGAGCCCAUUGAUGGCUCCGUACUUCCUUGCUUCCUCACAAGCUCAAUCCGCAGAGGCCAUGUCUUGUCCUGAGAUUUCCGAUGCCGGGACAAAACAAAAAUCCAAGCACUUAUUAUGAAUAUCAAAAUAAUGAGCGGUGUAGGCAUAUAUAAGCACUAUAUUCAUAUCAAAAAUCUAAGCACUUAUUAUGUUGCUAUUUGUGACGCCUUUCUUAUUUUAGCAAGAAAAUAAUGGUCCCCUCAGAUUAGUAAGUUGUAACUUUCGCAACCAUUAAAAACAUAGAUAAUUAAAGAUAUCAACUAAUUUGCUGUUAACAUGAAAUAAACAAUGCUCCAAAUCAAUGUGUACCUGUCUUAUACCUUGUCAACAAAUUGAACUCGUUGACAUGUCCCCAUUUUUAUCUCCGUUGCUGCAGCUGUUUGGUCCAAUAUCUCCAUGUAUCGCACUUACUAAUCAAAAGAGAAAGUUUGUCCAUCUUCAUAGUUCAUACCGAGUAUCAAUCAAAAGAGAAAGCAUGCACUGGAGGACUCAACGUCGUUGUUCUUGAGGGCACAUAUAUCUGCAUAGCCAAAUUUCUAGCUAGUUAUCUAAGAUAGUAAAGUGACACUUGUACAAGGUAACAAAAAUCAAGCAGACAAGGAGACUCAAAAGAAAGCUCUGGCCAACCAGUGGUCCGUACAUUUUGUGGUCUCAUGCCGGUUAGUAUUUUACUGUUUAGAUGGUUGAUGCUCUUGUCAUCCUGUUUUGGAAUAGCUUUGUGUUAAGAUUUCUUCUAUUCAUAGUUUGGUACGUAGUUGCUUACCCAACUUCUUAUAGAAAAACGAAGCUAUUAUUUCAACCAUAUAACUAAGGGGAACACACCUACGAAAUUCAUUGAUAACAGGAACAACAAAUAUUUUAAAAAAUGUCAUCAAAGAAAUAAAAAAGUGUAGCCAGGUAAUUCAAGCAUGGUAAAAAUACAAAUGCUUUAUUAAUGUAAUAUUUUCUAAUAAAUUCACAAAGGCAUCAUGAUUCUAAACAACAAUAUAUCUCCCGUUUCUGCUUUCAUUGAUCAUUGCCAAGUGACAGCAACACAAGCGUUGAAGCGACUUUCAGCCUCCAAUCAAACAUGAACAUGGGUUGAGAUUCUUUCUGAAUCAAUAUGAUUGUUCAUAUCAGUACAAAAUAAUCUUGCAUUCAGUAGAAGCGUGUAUGUUAAUGGUAAAAAGAACCACAAAGAUUAAUUAGCGGAUAUGGAUGAAUAAAGUACCUGGAGCCGAGGUUGACCGCGACAUGGUGUGGGAAGAGCAUGAAUCUAGUGAAUCAUCCAUCAACUUGCAUUCAGACAUGACCGAAGCUAAAUGUAAUGAACCAGGAACGCUAAAUUUGACUAAUCUUGUUCGUACAAAUCCACAAAAAGAAGCACUACAAAAUAGAAGAAAUGAAAAUAUCAAGGGUGGAUAAAAUGGUAGGAUCACAUCAUAGAAAGGAAAAUCCAAGAAUAGACAUCACUCAAAAUCCCUGACUUGCAAGACUUAAAAGAUAUGGAUGAAUCUUCCAGAAUGUUAUGAAUUGAUGUUUUCUACCUAGGAAAGAAACUUGCAAUGGGGACGAAAGCACAAGACAACGAGAGUAAAAAAACUUCUUGUGACGGCGGGAUGCUUAAUUCUGUAUAGAUAUUGGACUUAAAGAUCGAAGAAUCAUAUUGGAAGAUUUAACCUCACACGCCUGACGCCACUGGCCAUGUAUGCCUCGGUCACUCUCUGUGCUCUCCCGACAUGAGGAGGCAAUGGCUGUCUCACUCUGAGCAUAUUGCCUUCAUACGAUUCUCAUAUAUUUUGAGAUUUCUCACUGCUAAUUAACCUAUUUCGUAAUGCUUCCCAUUGUUCCCGAUAAAUAUUUAUAGCAUAUUAAAGCAUGCAAUAUCUACACACAUAUCUUUUGAACAGAAUCAAACUGCAUUGGUACUACGGUAGGAUGAAGCUAUCAACAUCGAGAAUGGAUAAGUAAUUUCAAGAACGUGUCUAUAGAAUAAACAAAACAAGGAAAGAAGAUCACGUGAAUGAAGAGAUAAUUAUUGUUCUCUCGUGAUUCCUCUCGAAGCAAUGGCGGUAGCAAGCACGAGCAGAACAAAACAUUCUGAAGUGCAAAUUAUACCUGUCCCUUCUUCGAACAAUAGCAACAACAGCUAGGAAAGCAUUACUGAGCCUUGCUCUCUCCCUCCUCUCCGAUUUCUGUAACUGCCACCGCCGCCAGCACCUCAUCCAGCAAUGAUCUGAAUCCCUUUUCUCUCCUCACGUCCUCAUCCC